AGUGAACGCUGGCGGUAGGCCUAACACAUGCAAGUCGAACGGCAGCACAGUAAGAGCUUGCUCUUACGGGUGGCGAGUGGCGGACGGGUGAGGAAUACAUCGGAAUCUACUUUUUCGUGGGGGAUAACGUAGGGAAACUUACGCUAAUACCGCAUACGACCUACGGGUGAAAGCAGGGGAUCUUCGGACCUUGCGCGAUUGAAUGAGCCGAUGUCGGAUUAGCUAGUUGGCGGGGUAAAGGCCCACCAAGGCGACGAUCCGUAGCCGGUCUGAGAGGAUGAUCAGCCACACUGGAACUGAGACACGGUCCAGACUCCUACGGGAGGCAGCAGUGGGGAAUAUUGGACAAUGGGCGCAAGCCUGAUCCAGCCAUACCGCGUGGGUGAAGAAGGCCUUCGGGUUGUAGAGCCCUUUUGUUGGGAAAGAAAAGCAGCAGGUUAAUACCCCGCUGUUCUGACGGUACCCAAAGAAUAAGCACCGGCUAACUUCGUG
rnacentral:rRNA from 1 species